rnacentral:rRNA from 1 species
AUUGAACGCUGGCGGCAGGCCUAACACAUGCAAGUCGAACGAGUGGCGGACGGGUGAGUAAUGUAUGGGAAACUGCCUGAUGGAGGGGGAUAACUACUGGAAAAGGUAGCUAAUACAGCAUACCAUCAGAUGUGCCCAGAUGGGAUUAGCUUGUAUGUGGGGUAACGGCUCACCAAGGCGACGAUCCCUAGCAGGUCUGAGCGGAUGAACAGCCACACGGGUACGUGGACACGGUCCAGACUCCUACGUGAGGCAGCAGGGGGGAAUAUUGCACAAUGGGCGCAAGCCGUAUGCAGCCAUGCCGCGUGUAUGAAGAAGGCCUUCGGGUUGUAAAGUACUGUCAGCUGUGAGGCGUUACCCGCAGAAGAAGCACUGGCGAACUCCGUGCCAGCCGCCGCGGUAAUUC